rnacentral:rRNA from 1 species
CAGGAGCUGACGGAACUCUUCGGAGGGAAGGCAGUGGAAUGAGGGCGGAAGGGUGAGUAACACGUAAGGAACCUGCCUCAAGGAUUGGGAUAACUCCGAGAAAUCGGAGCUAAUACCGGAUAGUUCAACGGACCGCAUGGUCCGCUGAUGAAAGGCGCUUCGGCGUCACCUUGAGAUGGCCUUGCGGUGCAUUAGCUAGUUGGUGAGGUAACGGCCCACCAAGGCGACGAUGCAUAGCCGACCUGAGAGGGUGAUCGGCCACACUGGGACUGAGACACGGCCCAGACUCCUACGGGAGGCAGCAGUAGGGAAUCUUCCACAAUGGACGAAAGUCUGAUGGAGCAACGCCGCGUGAGUGAUGAAGGUUUUCGGAUCGUAAAACUCUGUUGUAAGGGAAGAACACGUACGAGAGGGAAUGCUCGUACCUUGACGGUACCUUACGAGAAAGCCACGGCUAACUACGUGCCAGCAGCCGCGGUAAUACGUAGGUGGCAAGCGUUGUCCGGAAUUAUUGGGCGUAAAGCGCGCGCAGGCGGCCUUUUAAGUCUGAUGUGAAAGCCCCCGGCUCAACCGGGGAGGGCCAUUGGAAACUGGAAGGCUUGAGUACAGAAGAGAAGAGUGGAAUUCCACGUGUAGCGGUGAAAUGCGUAGAGAUGUGGAGGAACACCAGUGGCGAAGGCGACUCUUUGGUCUGUAACUGACGCUGAGGCGCGAAAGCGUGGGGAGCAACAGGAUUAGAUACCCUGGUAGUCCACGCCGUAAACGAUGA